CACCUACACACCUUCUCACCCACACAACAACAUGCCUACACACCCACACGCUCACACACCCACAUGCUAACAUGCUAACCCGCGCGGCUGCAGGGCCAGACAGACACAUGGUACUGGUCUCAUUCGGAGGAUGUCAAGGCAUCACAGGUGCACCACAAUACACUGGAUACAGAGACAGAACCCCCAGCUCACUGGACCUCUGGUGUUUGUUUCUUUCUUUUUUUGUUUGUUUUUGUUUGUUUGUUUCUUUGUUUGUUUUUUGUUUCUUUUUUUGUUUGUUUUUUGUUUCUUUCUUUUUUGUAUUUUUGUUUGUUUUUUUGUUUGUUUGUUUCUUUUUGUUUGUUUGUUUGUUUUUGUUUGUUUGUUUGUUGUUUAUUUGUUGAGGUGGGUGGAAGGCAGCUCUGGAGAGUGAGAGUGCUGCUGUUUGACCAAAUAGGAGGGUUGUCUAGUCUCAGCAUGUUUUGCCUUGAAUAGAGGUCACGAGGUCAUGAGGUAUCUCUAAUAACCGCUAACUGCUUCUCGUUGCUGGCUAACUCCCUACUUACCUUGCUCCAUUAUCAAGAGUGUGCUCGUGGGGCCCUCUGGGGUGACAGAUUAUUCUUAUGUAAAGUGUAUAAUUAUAGUUCUAUAUGAGGAUUGGUGUGUGUGUGUGUGUGUGUGUGUGUGUGGCUAACGUGGAUACUAAAGUUAAUGUUAGUCGGGUUUGAGGUUAAUCAUUAACAGGCUAAUAGCUAAUUCCAUGUAUACAGGCAGACUGAGAUGCUAGUCUUCUCGCAACAUUAAUUAUUUAGGUUUCUGUUAUCAUGCAGGGGUUUUCUUUUGGACGUUCCACACUGCGGGCACUCUUAAUGGGUAAUCGCAUUUACACAAACAUUCCAGGCAUGGGAAAGUUUAACUAGAGAGAAAGAGAGGGAGGGAGGGAGGGAGGGAGGAAAGAGUGAAAGAGCGAGAGAGACAGGAAGAGGGAGGGAGAGGAAGGGGAGAGGUUUCUGAGACUACUGAUGCCUGAAGAUCUGAAAGGAAACUAAAGUGAAAGUUGGUGAGUUGAUGUCAGUGUCAGUUUUGAUGUGAUCACAUGGAAGCCAGUUAACUGUUGUAGUCCUCUGGAGGGUGGCACACUGAAUGGGUAUUCCUCUGACGGGUGGCACACUGAAUGGGUAUUCCUCUGGAGGGUGGCACACUGAAUGGGUAGCCCUCUGACGGGUGGCACACUGAAUGGCAUUUAAUAGCUGAAAUAAACUCAUUCAAUGUUUUAAUGGCUCAAGCGUCUGAUUUCAUGCACACUAAUUGCAGUGACAUUUUUAAAUGUUGGUUGGUUUCUGUCUUUGAGAUGUGAACUCCUUAAACGUGACCGGUGUUUAAUCACAAAGGUAUGAGCAAGAAGACCACCUGCUGUUCAGUGUGUGGACAUUAAAGAUAGAGAGAGGGAAGGAUAUAUGUCCAGUGUGUGGACAUUAAAGAUAGAGAGAGGGAAGGAUUUAUGUCCAGUGUGUGGACAUUAAACAUUAUAUUAAAUAUAUGUCCGAAAGCUGAUUAACUUGUUUUGCUUAAAAAGUUAUAAAAAUAAAAAGUAUUUAUGAGUCUUCACAGCCUCCUGCUCUGGACUGGACUGGCCACUC
ensembl:lncRNA